UCUCAGGAACAUCCAUGUUGCUCUUUGCAGCAGCCAACACCCAUGUUCCUCUUUGCAGCAGCCAACACCAAGCAUUUCACUCAUACUAUUAACUUUGAUUCUUCCUUGUUUAAGAAUCCGCGACCAAACGAGUUUCGCCAUUUCGAUUCUAUUCUUGAGAUCGAUCAAAAAGUCAAAACCAUAACACAAAACCCUAGUGUCCUUGUGUUAUGGUAGAUUCAAUCGCGCAAAGCUUUUGUCUUUUCCUUGUAGAAAAGCUCCUUGAACAAUCGACAUAGAAUACAAUUACAAGCAAUUCGCUUCUUUUUCUCCAGAAUGCUCAAUGAUGUCUACUAUCAUAGAACUCUGGUCAUAAACAGGUUGAUUCAAUAUUUUUACAUCCAUUUCAUCCAUAUAAGAAAUACCUUGAUUUUGGGCUUGAAUAACCGCAUGGCUUAUGCAAUGUUUCUUCCUGGGGGGACUGGCUUCUGUCCUUAUGAAUUUGUCUGUUUUUUUUUACCCACAUGAAUACUUUUGCACAAGUUUGCUCUUUGAAGACUGUAGAAUAUGUAGAAUAUUCUAGAUAGUAUUUAUUGAUGUAGU